GACGAACGCUGGCGGCGUGCCUAAUACAUGCAAGUAGAACGCUGAAGGAGGAGCUUGCUUCUCUGGAUGAGUUGCGAACGGGUGAGUAACGCGUAGGGAACCUGCCUGGUAGCGGGGGAUAACUAUUGGAAACGAUAGCUAAUACCGCAUAAUAGUAGAUGUUGCAUGACAUUUGCUUAAAAGGUGCAAUUGCAUCACUACCAGAUGGACCUGCGUUGUAUUAGCUAGUUGGUGAGGUAACGGCUCACCAAGGCAACGAUACAUAGCCGACCUGAGAGGGUGAUCGGCCACACUGGGACUGAGACACGGCCCAGACUCCUACGGGAGGCAGCAGUAGGGAAUCUUCGGCAAUGGACGGAAGUCUGACCGAGCAACGCCGCGUGAGUGAAGAAGGUUUUCGGAUCGUAAAGCUCUGUUGUAAGAGAAGAACGAGUGUGAGAGUAGAAAGUUCACACUGGGACGGAAUCUUACAAGAAAGGGACGGCUAACUACGG
rnacentral:rRNA from 1 species